rnacentral:lncRNA from 1 species
UGCACAUGUAUCAGCUGGAGGGCUUGAACUGGCUGCGCUUCUCGUGGGCUCAGGGCACCGACACCAUCCUGGCUGAUGAGAUGGGGCUGGGCAAGACCAUACAGACCAUUGUCUUCCUCUACUCGCUCUAUAAGGAGGUGCUGGAUGCUGGGGCCCCCGAGGGGAAGAGCGGGGAGUGGAGGGCCCUCGAGGGCAGAGGAUGGCAGGGAGGAGCGUGGCAGCCAGAGGACUGGGGUCACAUCCGGACUAAUGGUCCCCCCUACCCUCGACCCCCAGGGCCACACGAAGGGUCCCUUCUUGGUGAGCGCCCCACUCUCCACCAUCAUUAACUGGGAGCGGGAGUUCCAGAUGUGGGCACCCAAGUUCUACGUGGUGACCUACACGGGGGACAAGGACAGCCGGGCCAUCAUUCGGGAGAACGAGUUUUCCUUCGAAGACAACGCCAUCAAAGGUGGCAAGAAAGCUUUUAAGAUGAAGGUAGGCCCCUCGACCUUGUCUUCUCUAAGAGCCUCAGCUCCGGUUUUCUCUGCCCCAACCCCAAUUUUAGUUUCUCGGCGCUCUCCCUCCUUUCCUCCACCUACUCUCACGCUUCUGCUCUCCUGUCCUGGAGACGUAGGGCGUCCAUUCUGUCCUCACUGGCCAUGUGUUGGUGGUUCGGGGGCCACGUUCAGUAAUCCCUGCGUGGAGUCAAAGUUGGAGGACAGGCUGUCUGGCUCCUCUUUGGCAAUCACGGCCGGGAUGGGGUGUCUGGUAAAGAACAGGGGUGGAGGUCUAGGCGCCUGGGUGUCGGGUGGCAGCCGAACGGACGAUGGCUGUGUUGGCAGAGGGAGGCCCAGGUGAAGUUCCAUGUGCUCCUGACAUCGUACGAGCUGAUCACCAUUGAUCAGGCAGCACUCGGUUCCAUCCGCUGGGCCUGCCUUGUGGUGGAUGAAGCCCAUCGGCUCAAGAAUAACCAGUCCAAGGUGAGCGAGAUACCCAGAGCUCAGAGUUUUGCUCUACUUCUAAAAAGGAAAGUUCUGGACUUUCUGUGGUCCGGAAGGCAAGAUGCCUGGGGACCUCCGGUGGGGAGAGAGGGACAGACUAGGGAUUCGGGGCCUCUCAUCCUAAAGGGAACCGGAAAAGUGGAUACCGUGGUCCAACCACUUGCCACUAACGGGCCCGUUCUCCUGCCUUUCCUUGCCCCACUUUCUAGUUUUUCAGGGUCCUCAAUGGCUACAAGAUAGAUCAUAAGUUGCUGCUGACAGGGACUCCAUUGCAGAAUAAUCUGGAGGAGCUUUUCCAUCUGCUUAACUUCCUCACCCCCGAGAGGUUUAAGUAAGUGACUCAGCAGGGCGGUCUGCAGAGAUGAGAAGUGGAGGGACGGGGAACCUGAGUGGGCAGAGGAUUCAUCUAAGUGAAGCAUGGAGCCUGAGGUCAGGGGCAAAGAACCUGAUGGGCAUUUCAGUUCCUUAUCUUCUUCUGGCUGCUAGCAAUCUGGAAGGCUUCUUGGAGGAGUUUGCUGACAUAUCCAAAGAAGACCAGAUUAAGAAACUGCAUGAUUUGCUUGGGCCGCACAUGCUGCGGAGGCUCAAGGCCGAUGUCUUUAAGAACAUGCCAGCCAAGACGGAGCUCAUCGUUCGGGUGGAGCUGAGCCCCAUGCAGAAGUGAGUUGAGAGCCGGGUGACCUGGAUCCGGGGCUGGGGUUUGGUGGCAGCUUUCCAGGACGUGGCGACCCAGGGCGCCCUCAUCACUGCCUCCUUUAUUGUGUGUCUUCCGCGCCCUGGUCUUUAGGAAAUACUACAAGUACAUCCUGACUCGGAACUUUGAGGCCUUGAAUUCACGAGGUGGUGGGAACCAGGUGUCGCUGCUCAACAUCAUGAUGGACCUUAAGAAGUGCUGCAACCAUCCCUACCUCUUUCCUGUGGCUGCUAUGGUGACGCACGCACUGGGGGCUGAUGGCGCGCUAGCUCUGUGAAAACGGGAUGGCGGCGGGGGGGGGGGGGGGGGGGGGGGGGGGGGGGGNNNNNNNNNNNNNNNNNNNNNNNNNNNNNNNNNNNNNNNNNNNNNNNNNNNNNNNNNNNNNNNNNNNNNNNNNNNNNNNNNNNNNNNNNNNNNNNNNNNNNNNNNNNNNNNNNNNNNNNNNNNNNNNNNNNNNNNNNNNNNNNNNNNNNNNNNNNNNNNNNNNNNNNNNNNNNNNNNNNNNNNNNNNNNNNNNNNNNNNNNNNNNNNNNNNNNNNNNNNNNNNNNNNNNNNNNNNNNNNNNNNNNNNNNNNNNNNNNNNNNNNNNNNNGGAGGCGGGGCGGGGGGCGUGGCACGGAGUUUCUGGGAGGAGUGGGAAUGUGCAAGUCGUGGACGCUGGAUUUGGGCUUUGGGCAUUCUGGGCACAGUCAGAACACGGGGACGGGUUUCCUGAUCUUCCCCUCCCUUUGCAGGAGUCCCCCAAACUGCCCAGUGGGGCUUAUGAGGGUGGGGCACUUAUUAAGGCAUCUGGGAAGCUUAUGCUGCUGCAGAAGAUGCUGCGAAAGCUGAAGGAGCAAGGACACCGAGUGCUCAUCUUCUCGCAGGUGAGCCGGUCUGUAGCUGUGUUGACCUCGGGCCGGUCCCUUACCUCGGUCCUGUGGCCACCACGGUAUGAGAGGCUAGGAGAUCACACCCUGGAGGGCGUCUGGUCUGGCUGCAUUCAUCUUGGCCUCUGAUCCCUGUUCUUAACUAAGGUUGUGGAAAGUCGUCGGCCGGCUUCUUUUAAGCCAAAUGGGGAAAGGCGGAGGGUGGGUCAUCUGUCUGCUCAGGGUCGUCCCUGGGACUGGAACUGUUUCUUUUUUUUCUUUUUUUAAUUUUUUUUCAACGUUUAUUUUUUAUUUAUUUAUUUAUUUAUUUAUUUAUUUUUUUUUUUAAAUUUUUUUUUUUCAACGCUUUUUAUUUAUUUUGGGACAGAGAGAGACAGAGCAUGAACGGGGAGGGGCAGAGAGAGAGGGAGACACAGAAUCGGAAACAGGCUCCAGGCUCCGAGCCAUCAGCCCAGAGCCUGACGCGGGGCUCGAACUCACGGACCGCGAGAUCGUGACCUGGCUGAAGUCGGACGCUUAACCGACUGCGCCACCCAGGCGCCCCUAUUUUUUAUUUUUGGGACAGAGAGAGACAGAGCAUGAACGGGGGAGGGGCAGAGAGAGAGGGAGACACAGAAUCAGAAACAGGCUCCAGGCUCUGAGCCAUCAGCCCAGAGCCUGACGCAGGGCUCGAACUCACGGACCGCGAGAUCGUGACCUGGCUGAAGUCGGACGCUUAACCGACUGCGCCACCCAGGCGCCCCUGGAACUGUUUCUUAACCAGGAGCGGGACAGGAGAGCCCAGAGCUCUUACAAAUCCGAUGAAAGCGAUAGGUCCGCUCUCUGGAAAUCUGCACGGACAGACAGUUAUGUACAGAUUUUCUGGGCAUUCGUAGUUUUCCCCGAAACCUUUUGGUGGGUCUCAGAGGAGAAUCUCUGCCUCAGGAGACACAAUCCUGAGCCCAGCAAGUAUGACCAGAACGUGGGGCUUGAAGAACGUGAAGAGGGACUGGGCGGGGGGGCAGCACCAGUGGAGCACGGGACGGGGCUGGCGGAAAGUGGAGGGAUCGUGGUUGGGGUAAAGACGGGGCCCAUCCUGCUGCUCCGUCAUUCCAGACUCCGUCCUCUUCUCUUGGCCUAGAUGACCAAGAUGUUGGACCUGCUAGAGGACUUCUUAGACUACGAAGGCUACAAGUACGAGCGCAUCGACGGCGGCAUCACUGGGGCCCUGAGGCAGGAGGCCAUCGAUCGGUUUAAUGGUGAGCGGGAGAGGCCUAGGCCCCACUUUGCGGGCAAGGCCCAUGCCUCCUGUGCCUAGGUUCCCAGCAUGGCGGGCAUUUAUUUACCACCCCGCUUCCGAGCUGGGGGUGCGGUUGUCUGCGGUCAAGGAGUGUCUAGUUAGCAGGUGCCCAACCCCUUUCUCUGCCCCCAGCUCCUGGCGCCCAGCAGUUCUGCUUCCUACUGUCCACCCGGGCCGGGGGCCUGGGCAUCAAUCUGGCCACUGCCGACACUGUCAUCAUCUUCGAUUCCGACUGGAACCCUCAUAACGACAUCCAGGUGGGAACUCGCCUCCUGGAGCCUCUGCCCCAGUUAGCAGGGAAAUGUGGGCUCUGGGCAGAGUGUUGUGUCCUGCGGUCAGAAAGGAACCUCUCGGGAACAGAUGAGCCUCCGUUCCCAGGCACGUGAGCUGCGUCACAGGCCCUGCCACCCCCCGACCCCAGUUCAUCCCCACUGUCUCCUUGCCCCUGCAGGCCUUCAGCCGUGCUCACCGGAUCGGCCAGGCCAACAAAGUGAUGAUUUACCGGUUUGUGACUCGAGCGUCCGUGGAGGAGCGCAUCACACAGGUGGCCAAGAGGAAGAUGAUGCUCACCCACCUGGUGGUGCGGCCUGGGCUGGGCUCCAAGGCGGGCUCCAUGUCCAAGCAGGAGCUGGACGACAUCCUCAAGUUCGGCACCGAGGAGCUGUUCAAGGAUGAGAACGAGGGUGAGAACCUUUUCCUGUGGUUUCUGGAAAGCAGCCCCUUGCCCUCAUGGGAGCACUUGUCUUCUGAAACCCUUCCAGAAACGCUCCCCUGUGCAGCCUGGGGAGGAAGGUUGGCCUCUCUUCUUACACGGAGGGUUGAAGACAACCACAAAUCUCUAGACUCCCGGGGAAAGGGUCUUCUCCCCUUUGAGCUCCUGGGAAAAGGAAGCAGAUUGGAGGGCUUUUCACUGACCCUUUGCUAAAGUUCUGCCCGAGGUUCUGGUUGGAACUCAGGGUCCCCUCUCGUUCCCGGUCUCCACCAGGGGAGAACAAGGAGGAGGACAGCAGCGUGAUUCACUACGACAAUGAGGCCAUCGCGCGGCUGUUGGACCGGAACCAGGAUGCGACAGAGGACACCGACGUGCAGAACAUGAACGAGUAUCUGAGCUCCUUCAAGGUGGCGCAGUACGUGGUGCGGGAGGAGGACAAGGUGAGAGGCUUGGGGUCACGACGCUGUGUAGCCCGGGCCACCUCUGAAGGGUAGAGUCCCUCAUUGGACCUCGAAGUAGGAGGCUCCCUUUCCGCUCUUGUCUUUUAUGUGCUCUCUUCCCGUUGCACCCAGCCAAGGGCAGUAGUGGACCUCAGACAGGUUGUUUCCCUAACGGGCGAGAGCAGACUUUGCGGAAGACUUAGGCGAAGAAAGUACCGAUAAACACAGAAGGCGGUGCCGCGGUGGCUCUGGGUGAGAGCGAGAGGGACGCAGAGGGCGCUGGAGGAGAGGUUUAGGAGACAGGCAGGUGGGAGCAGAGGAGAAGCACGUCGCUGGUAAGAAGGAAGGAAGGUGUGCGAUGCCCGGGACAUUCACGCAGAGUCCAGGAAACCGGGCGGCCGGGGAGCAGGGGCUUUGUCGCGGGGCAAGCACCGGGCGGGCGAAGAGGGAGGCUGCCAGCAUUCGUUCUGCUGCCCUUCAGAUUGAGGAGAUCGAACGAGAGAUCAUCAAGCAGGAGGAGAACGUGGACCCCGACUACUGGGAGAAGCUGCUGAGGCAUCACUACGAGCAACAGCAGGAAGACCUGGCCCGGAAUCUCGGCAAGGGCAAGCGGGUUCGCAAGCAGGUCAACUACAACGACGCCGCUCAGGAGGACCAAGGUGAGGACCGCCCCCGACGGAGGAGCUGGAGAGGGCCGAGGAGGAGUCUGGAGGCCGGGGUGCAUUUAGAGGGCCGUGGAGGGGCAAGAGGCUGGGAAGGGUCCGCGGGACCUGCCAGGAGGCCAGGCGGCUCAUGGGCGGCCUCAGCCAGCUGGUGGCUGCAGAGGCCCCGUGUGGGCACCCAGGGUCCUCGCCUAGUGCAGGACCUGCGGGAGUCGGAGGCGAGCAGGGAUGAGGCGAGCGGCGAGCGGCUGUUCGGGACGUGGCCCCCGAGUCAGACUGCGGCAGUCACCUGGCGUCACCAGGGGGCCCGGGGCCGGAGAAGGGGAGGCCUCCAGGCAGAAAGGGCUUAUCCCGGGAGCCGUCGCCAACCCCUGUGCUGCCUCCCUACAGACAACCAGUCCGAAUACUCCGUGGGAUCGGAGGAGGAAGAUGAAGACUUUGAUGAGCGUCCAGAAGGUGGCACCUGUUUUCCUGAUUUUCCACCUUAACCCUUCCUGUUUCCCUCCCGGAGCCCUUAAGUCCCCUGCUUUUGUGCAAACAAGUGCUUUUCUGGAGACGCGCUAAAAGGAUGAGAUUCCACCGUUAAAACUUGGAGUAUGUGAACACAUGGGCUUAGAUGGCUGGAUGAAAAAUCGAGAAAGCUUUACAUUCCCACGGGUAACCUGGCUCGCAUCGAGUGUCUGUUGCCAGGGUGUUAACGUGCCUGGCUUCUUCCAGGCCUGCUGGGUUGGUAGGGCUGAAAGUGCCACGUGACCCAGGCCUUGCCUGGGUUCUGCGUCUUGUGGGCCUGGGGUGCUGAGAAGGACUGAGGGGUGGAGGAGGUGGGGGGCCCACUAACCAGGUCACCCUCCCCCUCCACGCACACACCCAGGGCGUCGACAGUCCAAGAGGCAGCUCCGGAACGAAAAGGACAAGCCGCUGCCUCCCCUGCUGGCCCGAGUUGGGGGCAACAUCGAGGUGAGAGCCGGGCCCAGGCCCCCGCGUGUUCCUUAAGGAGAGGGUGAAGCCGGGAGUGGGGGACCGAGGCCGAGUCGCUGAGGGGAAGGACCAAGAAGCGAGAUGCCGGGACGCUCACGGCCCGCUGCCCGCUCGCCCCGACCCUCAGGUGCUGGGAUUCAACACCCGGCAGCGGAAGGCCUUCCUCAACGCCGUGAUGCGCUGGGGGAUGCCACCACAGGACGCCUUCACCACGCAGUGGCUGGUGCGGGACCUCAGGGGCAAGACCGAGAAGGAGUUCAAGUGAGUGCGGGCACCCGGGGUGGAGCUGCACGCGAGGGUACGAGCCGUGCGUGUCCGCUCCUUCCUCUUGGCCGCCACGUGAUGUGACCUUACUCAACCGAUUCAUCACGCUCCCCUGCCACGCGGCGUUUUCCGGCUUGGUUUCCUGGGGCGUGGACUCAGCCUGCCCACCUCCCCUCAGCCGAGCCUAGAGCAGAGAGGCCUGGCUUCCUCCCCCACAGGGCAGGUGGUUAAGACAGGAACCUGGCCCCGGGCUGGCCUCGCCUCACAUUUACUCGGUAGGGGAGCUGGUGGACAGGACGAAGAGCUGACUGAUGGGGCCUAGGAAGGACGCACCAAGGCCACGGAGACUGUGGAGACACAAGGGGAGGGGCGGAGGCGGGAGAUGGGGUUUGGAGGGCUGGUUGCGGUGCGAUUGAGCGGCCCUGGGAGGACCCCUGGGGGCACCCUGGAGGCACCGUGGGAGUUUAGGGUUCAGGGGAUGAGGGUGACAUCCUCGCUGGCUGCUCGGGCCCCUCCUGAAGCUCUCCUAACCUGCGUCCCUCCCCACGCUCCCCAGGGCCUAUGUGUCUCUGUUCAUGCGCCAUCUGUGUGAGCCCGGGGCAGACGGUUCUGAAACCUUUGCUGACGGGGUCCCUCGGGAGGGCCUGAGUCGCCAGCAAGUGUUGACCCGAAUUGGAGUCAUGUCUCUCGUCAAGAAGAAGGUACUCGUCUCCUUGGCCAGAGUCAAGCUGGCCACCUAGGCCCCAUGCCCCCCUCUGCCUGGCGACCCCGCGUUCUGGAUUCAGGCUGGCGGGAGAGGAGACCCGGACGGGGCUGAGCUUCCUGUGUGUCCGGCGCCCGCAGCUGACCCCUGUCCCCCACGGUCCCGGUGCCCCUCUCAGGUGCAGGAGUUUGAGCACAUCAAUGGGCGCUGGUCGAUGCCCGAGCUGAUGCCCGACCCCAGUGCCGACUCUAAGCGCUCCUCCAGGGCCUCCUCUCCUACCAAAACGUCUCCCACCACCCCGGAGGCUUCUGCUACAAACAGCCCUUGCACUUCUAAACCUGGUAACGGGGGCCGGGACGCAGGAGGGGUGGGCAGGGAGCCAGCGCCCCGCGGACAGAGGAGUGGGAGACAGCGUGGGGUCUCUGCCUCCCCCCUGCAGCUACUCCGGCUCCAAGUGAGAAGGGAGAUGGCGUCAGGACACCUCUUGAAAAGGAUGAAGCGGAAAACCAGGAGGAGAAGCCCGAGAGGAAGAUCGAGAAGAUGGAAACAGAGGUGUGUGGCUGCCUGGCUCCCCCAGAGAAGGAGACAGUCAAGGUGUCCGGAAUCUCUGCUUCAUCCUGACCCCAUGGUCGUCUUCUAGGCCGACGCCCCUAGCCCAGCCCCGUCGCUUGGGGAGCGGCUGGAGCCAAGGAAGAUUCCUCUAGAGGAAGAGGUGUCUGGAAUAGCAGGAGAAAUGGAGCCUGAACCUGGGUACCGGGGGGACAGAGAGAAGUCAGGUGGGUUCAUGGGCUUAGGGCUGAUGAGGGGCUUCGAGUGUGGGAGUUCCCUCUUCCGGGGUCAGGGGAUGAGGGUGACAUCCUCCCUUCGUGUCCCCUUCCCCCUCCCACAGCCACAGAGUCAACGCCAGGAGAGAGGGGGGAGGAGAAGCCAUUGGAUGGACAGGAACACAGGGAGAGGCCGGAGGGGGAGACAGGGGAUUUGGGCAAGAGAGGUAAUGGGUGGAAGGACUGGACACCUGCGUCCCUGGGGAAUCGGGCGGUGGAGUCUGGGGGCCAAAUGCCUGGGUCCUGGGGGCGGGGGUACCGUUCCAGGGCCUGUCUGGUGCAGGGCGGGGUCUUCGGGGCUGCGAGGAGCCCCUGCCGAGGUGUGAGCUCUGCCCCGUCUGCCCCAGCAGAGGAUGUGAAAGGGGACCGGGAGCUUCGACCGGGGCCUCCUCGGGACGAGCCACGGUCCAACGGGCGGCGCGAGGAGAAGGCGGAGAAGCCUCGGUUCAUGUUCAACAUCGCAGACGGCGGCUUCACAGGUGGGGGGCUGUCCCUGCCGCCUGCUCCUCACUGGGAUGCGCUCAUCCUCGUGGGCACUGUCCCCUCCCGCUGUCCACACUCCGCACCUCCGCCCGGCUGCCGUUCCCCGAGUCCUGACGCCCGUCUCUGUCUUCUGCCCGCUUCUCAGAGCUUCACACGCUGUGGCAGAAUGAGGAACGGGCAGCUAUUUCCUCGGGGAGACUCAACGAGAUCUGGCACCGAAGACACGACUACUGGCUUCUGGCUGGGAUUGUCCUGUAUCCUUUGAUACGAACGCAAGAAAAAAAAAUAGUUCUCCCAGCCCGGAGAGGGGAGUCACGGAGAAAGAAGAGUCCGCACCCAGGGAAGGGGGGGCCGUGCCACACUUUGGGGGAGAUCAGGUCAAAGGGAAGGAGUGUUUUUUGGUCCUUAAAACAUUUUCUUAAUGUUUGUUUAAAUUUUUGAGAGGGAGAGAGACAGAGCACGAGUGGAGGAGGGGCAGAGAGAGAGAGGGAGACACGGAAUUGGAGGCAGGCUCCGGGCUCUGAGCUGUCAGCACAGAGCCCGACGCGGGGCUCGAACUCCCAGACCGCGAGAUCGUGACCUGAGCCAAAGUCAGACGCUUAACCGACCGAGCCACCCAGGCAUCUCGAAAGAGGCGUUCGUGGCGCAGCCCAUCCCUGUUAAAUUCCUUGACGGCCCCUCCCUCGUCACAGCCAUGGCUACGCACGGUGGCAGGACAUCCAGAAUGAUGCUCAGUUUGCCAUCAUCAACGAGCCGUUCAAAACCGAAGCCAAUAAGGGGAACUUCCUGGAGAUGAAAAAUAAGUUCCUGGCCCGGAGGUUCAAGGUG